AUUGAACGCUGGCGGAAUGCUUUACACAUGCAAGUCGAACGGCAGCACGGGGGCAACCCUGGUGGCGAGUGGCGAACGGGUGAGUAAUACAUCGGAACGUGCCCAGUCGUGGGGGAUAACGUAGCGAAAGCUACGCUAAUACCGCAUACGAUCUACGGAUGAAAGCGGGGGAUCGCAAGACCUCGCGCGAUUGGAGCGGCCGAUGGCAGAUUAGGUAGUUGGUGGGGUAAAGGCUCACCAAGCCUUCGAUCUGUAGCUGGUCUGAGAGGACGACCAGCCACACUGGGACUGAGACACGGCCCAGACUCCUACGGGAGGCAGCAGUGGGGAAUUUUGGACAAUGGGCGAAAGCCUGAUCCAGCCAUUCCGCGUGCAGGAUGAAGGCCCUCGGGUUGUAAACUGCUUUUGUACGGACGAAAAAGCUCCGGCUAAUACCUGGAGUCCAUGACGGUACCGUAAGAAUAAGCACCGGCUAACUACGUGCCAGCAGCCGCGGU
rnacentral:rRNA from 1 species